rnacentral:rRNA from 1 species
AGAGUUUGAUCAUGGCUCAGGAUGAACGCUGGCGGCGUGCCUAACACAUGCAAGCCGAACGGAAUUUACAUGAAGCCUAGCGAUUGUAAAUUUAGUGGCGGACGGGUGAGUAACGCGUGGGUAACCUGCCUUGUACUGGGGGACAACAGUUGGAAACGACUGCUAAUACCGCAUAAGCGCACAGCUUCGCAUGAAGCAGUGUGAAAAACUCCGGUGGUACAAGAUGGACCCGCGUCUGAUUAGCUGGUUGGUGAGGUAACGGCCCACCAAGGCGACGAUCAGUAGCCGGCCUGAGAGGGUGAACGGCCACAUUGGGACUGAGACACGGCCCAAACUCCUACGGGAGGCAACA